CCAAUAGCGUAUAUUAAAGUUGCUGCAGUUAAAAAGCUCGUAGUUGAAUUUCGGGACUAAUAUGUCGGUCGUGCCUCGGUACGUACUGGUAUUUUUGGUUUCUCCCUUCUGACGAACCUUGAUGUCAUUAAUUUGGUGUCUUGGGAAAUCAGGACUGUUACUUUGAAAAAAUUAGAGUGUUUAAAGCAGGCUCACGCUUGAAUACAUUAGCAUGGAAUAAUAAAAUAGGACGUUUGAUUCUAUUUUGUUGGUUUCUAGGAUCGACGUAAUGAUUAAUAGAGAUAGUUGGGGGCAUUAGUAUUCAAUUGUCAGAGGUGAAAUUCUUGGAUUUAUUAAAGACUAACUACUGCGAAAGCAUUUGCCAAGGAUGUUUUCAUUAAUCAAGAGCGAAAGUUAGGGGAUCGAAGACGAUCAGAUACCGUCGUAGUCUUAACCAUAAACUAUGCCGACUAGGGAUCGGAUGAUGUUAAUUUUUUAAUGACUCAUUCGGCGCCUUACG
rnacentral:rRNA from 1 species